rnacentral:rRNA from 1 species
AUUGAACGCUGUCGGCAGGCUUAACACAUGCAAGUCGAACGAGUGGCGGACGGGUUAGUAAUGCUUGGGAAUCUACCUUAUGGAGGGGGAUAACUACUGGAAACUGUAGCUAAUACCGCGUACCAUCGGAUGUGCCCAAGGGGGAUUAGGUUGUUGGUGCGGUAAAGGCUCACCAAGCCGACGAUCCCUAGCUGGUCUGAGAGGAUGACCAGCCACACUGGAACUGAGAAACGGCCCAGACUCCUACGGGAGGCAGCAGUGGGGAAUAUUGCGCAAUGGGGGCAAGCCUGACGCAGCCAUGCCGCGUGUAUGAAGAAGGCCUUCGGGUUGUAAAGUACUUUCAGUAGCGAGGCGUUAACAACAGAAGAAGCACCGGCUAACUCCGUGCCAGCAGCCGCGGUAAUAC